CACGCCGUAAACGAUGAGUGCUAAGUGUUGGGGGUCGAACCUCAGUGCUGAAGUUAACGCAUUAAGCACUCCGCCUGGGGAGUACGGUCGCAAGACUGAAACUCAAAGGAAUUGACGGGGGCCCGCACAAGCAGUGGAGUAUGUGGUUUAAUUCGAAGCAACGCGAAGAACCUUACCAGGGCUUGACAUCCUCGGACGACACUAGAGAUAGUGUUUUCUCUUCGGAGACUGAGAGACAGGUGG
rnacentral:rRNA from 1 species